UGGGAUUCUCUCUCUCCCUCUCUUCCUGCCCCUCCCCCAUUUGUUCACAUGUGCAUUUGCUCUCUCUCUCUCUCUCUCUCUCUCUCUCAAAAUAAAUAAAUAAACUUUAUAUAUGUAGCUUACAUAAUUCUGUUGGAAGUUUUGGACAGCGCUGUGCUUUGAGUGUAUAAAUAGUUACUAAGAUAUUUUUAAAAAAAUUUAAAGUACUGGAUAUUUAACUAGGCUUAAAAUAAUUUCCUUGCAAACAGGUGGAGGGGAAAUGAGGAUUUUACAUCUCCCAAUUAAAUGGACUUAGAGCUAGGUAAAUAACUAUAGCAUUCAAAUAAAAAGAAUGCAUGUUUAAUAGUGGGAUAGAGUGACACAUUAACAGGAGACAGUGGGAAAAUGAUAGUAAUAGGCAGACACUAUGCUUUGCCAUCUUUUGUUUAGCAUUAAAAAAAUUUUUUUUAAUUAAACUUUUAAUUUUGAGGUAAUUGUAUAGACUCACAUGCAAUUGAAAGAAAUAAUGCAGUAAGAUCCAGUGUGCCCUUUAGCCAUUGGUAACAUUUUGUGAAACUAUAGGACACUAUCACAGGAUAUUGACAUUGAUAAAAUUCACAUAAAAAAAAAUUCUGGUAUAUUUAAGUAUAUCUCUACACCCAACAUGAGGCUUGAACUCACUACCCCAGAGGUCAAGAGCCGCAUGCUCUACUGACUGAAGCAGCCAGGUGCUCCUACAGAUUGUAUUAGAUUUUCUCGGUUUUACUUCUGCUUAUUGAUUGAUUGAUUGAUUGAUUGUGUGUGUGUGUGUGUGUGUGUGUGUGUGUGUGUGUGUGUGUAUUUCAUUCUGUGCAAUUUUGUUACAUGUGUUGGCUUCUGUCUCCAACACCACAGUCAAGAUACAGAACAAGUCUGUUACCACAGGGAUCCUUCUUCUUGUCCUCUUACAACUACAUUCAUCAUUUCUCUCCCCAGUCUCUAACCACUGGCAACAACUAAUCUGUUCUCCAUUUCUAUAGGUUUGUCAUUUCAGUAAUGUUAAAUGAAUGGAAUUCUAUAGUAGGUAUGUAACCUUUUGAAAUUGGCUUCUUUUCUGUCAGCAUGUGUCAAUAAUUCAUUCCUUUUUUUCUUUAUUGUGGUAAGAUAAACAUAACAUAGUAUUUAUUUGAACCAUUUGUAAGUAUAUAAUUCAGUAGCAUUAAAUAUAUUCACAGUGUUGUGUAACCAUCACCGCUAACCCAUUACUACUAUACCUAAAACUUUUUCAUCAUCUCCCAGAAUACUCUGUGCCAGUUAAACAAUAACUUUCUCUCCUCGCAGCCCUUAGUAACCUCUAGUCUUCCUUCUGUCUCUAUGAAUUUUUCUAUUCUAGGUGCCUCAUAUAAGAGUAAUCAUACAAUAUUUGUUCUUCUGUGUUUGGCUUAUUUCACUAAGCAAGGUGUUCUCAAGGUCCAUCCAUGUUGUAGCAUAUCUCAGAAUUUCAGUUCUUUUUAUAAGUUGAGUCAUAUUUCAGCACGCAACAUUUUUAUUAAUAACGUGGAUGAAAUAUCGAUGAUUUGCUUUGCAAAUCCAUACAUGACUUGAAGCUGGCAAUGAUAAGUUGUAUAGUUAAUGUGUUAUUUUUUCAGAACAGAGAUUGAAAAUAGUUAUUUUAGACUGAAAUGGACUAAACCAAUCAAGCUUUAUUGAAUAUUGAUAAGCACAAAGUUCUACAUAUGAUUCUAAAAAUAAGUGUUACUGGCGCACCUGGGUGGCUCAGUCAGUUGAGUGACUGACUUCGGCCCAGGUCAUGAUCUCAUGGUUUUUGAGUUUGAGCCCUGCGUCGGGCUCUGUGCUGACAGCUCGGAGCCUGGAGCCUGCUUCGGAUUCUGUGUUUCCCUCUCUCUCUGCCCCUCCCCCACUCAUGCUCUCUGUCUCAGAAAUAAAUAAACAUUAAAAAAAUUUUAAAAAGUGUUACUGUAGAUGAUUGUGAUGUAGUUUAACAGUAGAUAACAUGAAAAAUCCUGGGGGUGGGAGUGGAGUGGUGGUGCAUGUUCAAUGUGAGUCCACAGUGUAAUUUGGGCUCUGUUAAUAGAAGCAUAGUGUCCAGAAUAAGUACUAUGAUUGUUUCAGACUACUGUGUUCAUUUCUGGGUACCUGAUUUUAUGGGUGCACACUUAAAAACAGAUAUAUUCAAGACAGAAACUGGGAUGAUCUGACAGCAAGACAAUAGCCACUCAGGUAAUCAGGUCCUAGUCUAAGGAUUUGUUCAAGUCGAGUCUGGCGAAACAUUUGUCAGGGACAUUGUAAAAAGUGUUUUAGUACUUUUAGGAGAGUGGGGAUGGAGAAGAUGCUGUUAUACCUAUUAUCUUUGUAGCUCUUCAGCCCUGAGGUUUGGUAAUUAUAGAGCAUUGUAGGCCACUGGGGUCUAAACUGUUGAUAGUGGUUGUCCCUGAAGGAUGAGAUUGCAGGGGACUGUCACAUUCCAUGUCACGUAUAUCUGUGUUUAAUUUUAGUUUUUACAUUGAGUAUAUACUAGUCUAUUUAAAAAAGGGGGGGGGCAAAGUGGUAAAGAAAUAUUCUUGUUUUGCAUAUCAACAUAGUUUCAUACUUUAAUUCUAGAAAAUUAAAAAAUAACAGUGAAUUAAUAUACACAUUUUUUGUGUUUAUAGCCCUUUGCAUGUAUUGAGAGAUGUGUAUACAAAUGGAGGUUGGAUAUAUGAAUAUCUUGUGCUUUUGGAAGAGUGCUUUGCUUAAUAUUUGCCUAUAUUCCUUUUAGUAGUUCUCUGGAUGGUGACAAUGAAAUUUAGUUGGGCUUUGUCAGAUUAUUCUACAUCCUCAGAUUUACCUCCAGCCCCAGAUGGUUUUAUUUUAUCCCCCAGAGACAACGGUUGGCCCUUUAUGCUUGUUGGGAAAGAAGGAUUAUAGCCAACAUUUGCUUCCUGGAGAUGUUCAGGAGAAAUGUUGCUAAGCUGCAUGAGUAAACAGGUUGUAAACAAAAACUCUGAGCCAGACCUACUCGCCCCAUUGUUAUCAAUCAGUGAAUUUUAGCUUCGGGUUCUAAUGAUUUAAAUGCUAUAGUUCUCUCAUCUCCUUUUAAAAUCUGUAACACUUGUCAUUGAAGAGUUUUAUUACUAUCCUUCCUUUGCCUUAGCUUGAUAGAGCCCACCACUGUAAAUGGUGGACAAUCUUGGAUAUUAUUGCUUGAUGUCGACAUGAAGCUAUUCAGUAUUUCAGACAGUAGUGUGGGGAGAAAUGGUUCUGUUGGCACGUGGUCAGAGAGCCGUCCCAGACUGGUUGCUCUCGGUGUUUAUAAUAGGUUUCUACAAGAACUUGUUUAUAUUUGCUGCAGUGUCACUCAAAGCUUCUUAGUCUUGUUAGUCAAGUGUGUAGGUCAUAUGAUGACUUGUGGAUUAUACUCUAAGUGGGCACACACGUUUUUCUUGAAAAUAACUCCUAACUCGCUUUCUCCAAACUUCAGAAAUUCUUCUGUUGGUACCAUAGAAGUGGUGUAGUUGAUACUCUUCAGUCAUGAGUUUGCACUCUCGGAGGUGUUAAGGUGGAACUGUGUCUUGGAGGUAAGAGAACAAAUUAAGACUGAUCACUAAUGUAAUAGCAGGAACUUUCUGUUAGAGCAGUAUAGAAACGUAAGUGAUAAAACAGAUGUGCAGAAACCUCAACUCAAGCAAUACUUAAAAAAAAAAAAAAAAAAAAGAACCAACCUUCCAUGUAGAAGGCUCG